rnacentral:rRNA from 1 species
GAGCACGUAGGUGGGUUUGUAAGUCAGAUGUGAAAGCCUUCUGUUCAACGGAAGAAUUGCAUCUGAAACUGCGAGUCUUGAGUGUAGGAGGGGAGAAUGGAACUUCUGGUGGAGCGGUGAAAUGCGUAGAUAUCAGAAGGAACGCCGGCGGCGAAAGCGAUUCUCUGGCCUAUUACUGACACUCAGUGUGCGAAAGCUAGGGGAGCAAACGGGAUUAGAUACCCCGGUAGUCCCAGCCGUAAACGAUGGGCGCUGAGUAGAGGGAAUUACCGAUGUUCUCUCUGCCGUAGCUAAUGCAUUAAGUGCCCCGCCUGGGGAGUACGGCCGCAAGGCUAAAACUCAAAAGAAUUGACGGGGGCUCGCACAAGCGGUGGAGCAUGUGGCUUAAUUCGAUGCAACGCGAAAAACCUUACCGGGGCUUGACAUGGUAGAAGUAGGAACCCGAAAGGGUAACGAACGGUAUCCAGUCCGUAGCUAUCACAGGUGUUGCAUGGCUGUCGUCAGCUCGUGUCGUGAGGCGUUGGGUUAAGUCCCCUAACGAGCGAAACCCUUGUUUUUAGUUACCAGCGGGUUAUGCCGGGUACUCUAGAUAGACUGCCGUCGUCAAGACGGAGGGAGGUGGGGAUGACGUCAAGUCAUCAUGGCCCUUAUGCCCCGGGCUGCACACGUGCUACAAUGGUCGGUACAAACGGAUGCGAAGCCGAGAGGUGAAGCGAAUCC